UACGAAGGGGGCUAGCGUUGCUCGGAAUCACUGGGCGUAAAGCGCACGUAGGCGGCUUUUUAAGUCAGGGGUGAAAUCCUGGAGCUCAACUCCAGAACUGCCUUUGAUACUGGGAAGCUCGAGUCCGGGAGAGGUGAGUGGAACUCCGAGUGUAGAGGUGAAAUUCGUAGAUAUUCGGAAGAACACCGGUGGCGAAGGCGGCCUGCUGGGCAGUAGCUGACGCUGAAGCGCGACAGCGUGGGGAGCAAACAGG
rnacentral:rRNA from 1 species